rnacentral:rRNA from 1 species
CCCUUAGAUGUUCUGGGCCGCACGCGCGCUACACUGAUGCAUUCAACGAGCCUAUCCUUGACCGACAGGUCCGGGUAAUCUUUGAACCUGCAUCGUGACGGGGAUAGAUUAUUGCAAUUAUUAAUCUUCAACGAGGAAUGCCUAGUAGGCGCAAGUCAUCAGCUUGCGUCGAUUACGUCCCUGCCCUUUGUACACACCGCCCGUCGCUCCUACCGAUUGGGUGUGCUGGUGAAAUGUUCGGAUCGGCCGUUUGUCGCGGUUUCCGCGGCUCGUGGCUGAGAAGUUCAUUAAACCCUCCCACCUAGAGGAAGGAGAAGUCGUAACA